UCCUACUCCGUAUCGAAUAGGCUGAUCUGAGCACACGUUGGUGUGCUACCCUUAUAUAGCUGAACAUACACUUCAAUUAACCAAGGGAUCCUAUCAUCUAGACCUUUGGAUCAUCGAUCCAUCUAAAACUAAACAAGAUUAGUUAGAAUCGACCUAGAUUGAAUCGCUGGAAGAACUUGCACGCGAAUCAGACUUGCCAGACUUCAGAUCAGACGGAUCAGUACAGGAUUUGCUUUGCAGCAAAGAUACAAUUGUGACAAUAAUUUAUUAGCAGAAACGUGUGAAGCUUUACAAAUUUUAAAAACCAAGGCAAGAAGACACUAUCAGAAAUGAAGGGACAGUAUACGUCAAAAUCAGCAGGCCCACUUGCAAAAGAAGCUAAAGAAGCUAUUAUCAGGAGGAAACAACAACUACAAGAAAAAAGGAGUAAGAGAUGCAGGAAUACACAGGAAACAACCAA